rnacentral:tRNA from 1 species
AUAUUAGUAGUUUAAAAAGAAUGUGGAUUUGUGGUGUCUAGAGUGCAAUUUGGCCUAAUAUA